AUUGAACGCUGGCGGCAGGCCUAACACAUGCAAGUCGAACGAGUGGCGGACGGGUGAGUAAUGUCUGGGAAACUGCCUGAUGGAGGGGGAUAACUACUUGAAACGGUAGCUAAUACCGCAUACCCUCAGAUGUGCCCAGAUGGGAUUAGCUUGUUGGUGGGGUAACGGCUCACCAAGGCGACGAUCCCUAGCUGGUCUGAGAGGAUGACCAGCCACACUGGAACUGAGACACGGUCCAGACUCCUACGGGAGGCGGCAGUGGGGAAUAUUGCACAAUGGGAGCAAGCCUGAUGCAGCCAUGCCGCGUGUAUGAAGAAGGCAUUAGGGUUGUAGAGUACUUUCAGCGGGGAGGCGUUAGCCGCAGAAGAAGCACCGGCUAACUCCGUGCCAGCAGCCGAGGUAAUAC
rnacentral:rRNA from 1 species